rnacentral:rRNA from 1 species
UACGUAGGGUGCGAGCGUUAAUCGGAAUUACUGGGCGUAAAGCGUGCGCAGGCGGUUUUGUAAGCCAGAUGUGAAAGCCCCGGGCUUAACCUGGGAAUGGCAUUUGGGACUGCAAGGCUUGAGUGCGGCAGAGGAGACUGGAAUUCCUGGUGUAGCAGUGAAAUGCGUAGAUAUGUGGAGGAACACCGAUGGCGAAGGCAGCCCCCUGGGUCAAAACUGACGCUCAUGCACGAAAGCGUGGGGAGCAAACAGG